rnacentral:rRNA from 1 species
GACGAACGCUGGCGGCGUGCCUAAUACAUGCAAGUUGAGCGCUGAAGGUUGGUACUUGUACCAACUGGAUGAGCAGCGAACGGGUGAGUAACGCGUGGGGAAUCUGCCUUUUAGCGGGGGACAACAUUUGGAAACGAAUGCUAAUACCGCAUAAAAACUUUAAACACAAGUUUUAAGUUUGAAAGAUGCAAUUGCCUCACCCAAAGAUGAUCCCGCGUUGUAUUAGCUAGUUGGUGAGGUAAAGGCUCACCAAGGCGAUGAUACAUAGCCGACCUGAGAGGGUGAACGGCCACAAUGGGACUGAGAACAGGCCCAAACCCCUAAGGGGGGCAGCAGUAGGGAAUCUUCGGAAAUGGACGAAAGUCUGACCGAGCAACGCCGCGUGAGUGAAGGAGGUUUUCGGAUCGUAAAACUCUGUUGGUAGAGAAGAACGUUGGUGAGAGUGGAAAGCUCAUCAAGUGACGGUAACUAACCAGAAAGGGACGGCUAACUACGUG